CGCCUGAGUGUAGAGGCGAAAGACCGAGCGGUCCUUGUGAACGAGACUACAUUUACAUAUUCACCCUAAGGGUUUGAAGGCGUGUGUACCAGCAAAGAUUAGUGUGACAUACCUCCGCACUUUGGCAGUGGACUACUCUAACGGCACCUUCAGUCUCUGCGUUUUUGUAAUAACACUACUUCUCCAGAGACAGGACUGAGAGGAAGAAAUAAAAAAGACGACUGAAAUAGUGAUGCCAUCCAACAAGUACUCCUCCGCUAUCAUGGCGGAAAGUGACAAGAUGACUGCCACGGCUGCUGUGAAUGGUGACAUGUCAGUAGGAGAGGGAUUGUCAGAAAACGACAGCGGUCUGGAAAUGACCAAUGAGAACAGCCCACUGACUGCGGCAGAGCCACCUUCACCUUUCUGCCCCAAACAGAACGGAGGCGCAGCCUCAC